rnacentral:lncRNA from 1 species
CUGAAUGUGGUGCUGCUCGGGCUGUUUAAGCACUGCACCGGGUGACAAAUAGCUAUUAACACUGAGCUCCCUGUCACCGGAGGAAUGAAGACUACGGAGAUCAAACAACCUUUAGGUGGGAACAAAAUGCAUUAUUUAUCACCAAUUAAUCUUUUUCCCCCCCCCCCUCCUUGUUCAGUAGGGAGCCCGGGCAGUCAGACUGGGGUGGGAGAGAGCGGUGCCUUGCUGAAGACCAAGGGCACCUUUGGUGAACCUUGCUCUGAUCUGCCCUUAGUGACGCCCCGAUGCCAAGGGGAAAUAAACAGGUUGCAGGGCUGCUGGUGGUACAAAAUAAAAGCAGGAGAGGCUGCUCUGACGGCUCACAGAGCAGCCCCAGCAGGCCAGGCAGGCAUGGCCCCACACUGCAGCCAGCACCGGACCCCAGCACAGACCAGAGGAUGAGCAAGAAGUGAAGAUGCCCAAUGCCCAAGCACCGAGGGCUCUGUCUCUUCCCAGCCCUGAGGAGUUUCCUCCUGCCAAGAUGAAGGAUGUAGAAAUGUGUCCCUUAGGUAAUGCCCAAUAUCCCCUCUGGCAUCUAUCAGAUGGCCAGCCCCACUGCAUCACAGACAAGCAGUUCUCUCUGGGAAUAUCUCCUGCACAGGACAUGGAAAAGGGCCAGUGUGGUUUCUCUACCCACCUCCUCACCUCCUCCUCCUCUCUCAGCACUGGGAGCACAGCCAGAGAAAGCGAGACCUGCGCAGCACACCGGUGGGAUGCAGUUAUUAGCGGCUGCGGCAGCUGCCCUCCAGUCAAUCUCAGCACGUGACGCAAGUGGUGGAGAUCGAAUUUUGUCCCCUCACCUUCUCAAGGUGCAGCUGAGCUCUGCGGAGCACACACGCUGAGCCCAAGGCCUCUCACAUUGCUCGCUGCAAGAUCAGAUGGAGAACAGAGACAAGUGUGCAUCACAGAAGUGCAAACAGCAGCAAAGGGGGAGCAGGAGGCUAGAAAAAUGCACUGUGUGAGUCCUGGCCACACAAAACCACCAGCAAACGCACACUCACAACACAGGCAAGUGAUCAAUGACCACACCUUGUCCAAAAAAACUACCCAGGGUAUUUGACAGCCUCGUGCUCGCAAACAUUGCUCCCUUCCCACCCCACCACGGGAGAGCAUGGGAAGCAGCAGCAGCAGAGCCCAGGAGCUGUUGCAACAUCUCCAUUAUCCUAACAACCUUCUCUGCCCAAGCCCUUCGUGCUCGGACCUGUCCCUUGGACCACAGAGCUCCCAUUAGAAGUACCCAGGGUGUUUUUUUGCAGGCGAACACUGAGCGAUGCUGAGAGCUG